AUGGUUGUGAAAGCAAUGAAGGAAGCUCCUGCCCUCCCAAAGCUGAAGCAAGGGAGAAGGCCUUGAAAGCCAAGAAGGCACUGUCACAAAAUGAAGAUCCUCACACAUCACCAGUCUUCAGGUGGCCCAAGACUCCAUCUCCAGAUGCAGCUGAAGUCCCCUCUGAAGCGCUCGCCCAGGAGAAACAAGCAUGAGCACUAUGCCUUCAUCCAGUUCCCCUGACCACAGAGCCAGCCAUGAGGAAGACAGAGAUAACAGCAUGCUUGUGUUCACUGUGGAUGUCAAGGCCAGCAAGCACCACACAGGCCGUGAUGAAGCUCUGUGGCGCUGAUGUGGCCAAAGUCAUCACCUCGAUGAGGUCUGAUGGAGAGAAGGGCGAAUGAUCAGCUGCAUCCUGAUUAUGAAGUGUUGGCUAUUGCCAACAAAAUUGGGAUUAUCUAA
rnacentral:lncRNA from 1 species